rnacentral:rRNA from 1 species
UCUGACGCUGCAUGCACGAAAGCGUGGGGAUGCGAACAGGAUUAGAUACCCUGGUAGUCCACGCCCUAAACGAUGAUAACUAGCUGUUGGGGCCGUUAGGCCUUAGUCCCGCAGCUAACGCGUGAAGUUGACCGCCUGGGGAGUACGGUCGCAAGAUUAAAACUCAAAGGAAUUGACGGGGACCCGCACAAGCGGUGGAUGAUGUGGAUUUAUUUGAUGCAACGCGAAAAACCUUACCUGCUCUUGACAUGUCUGGAAAUCCGAAGAGAUUUCCUUCCUUCCGCAAGAGAAACUAGAACACAGGUGCUGCAUGGUUGUCUCCAGCUCGUGUCGUGAGAUGUUGGGUUAAGUCCCGCAACAAGCGCAACCCUUGUUUUAGUUGCUACAUGGGAGGGACUCUAAUACAAACUGGCCUGCACAAGCAGAGAGGAAGGGGGGGGAGGACGUCAAGUCAUCAUGGGCCCUUAUCGUCUAGGGGCUACGCACGUCACUACAAUGGUAUGGUACAGACGGGUCAGCCUACACGCGAGUGUGAUGCCAAUCUCAUAAAACCCGAUUCACAGUCCGGAUCGCAGUCUGCAACUCGACUGCGUGAAGUCAGAAUUCGCUAGUAAUCGCAGUAUCAGAAUAGUCACGCGUGAAUAUCACUUCCCGGGUCCU